CGGCCUGCAGGGCCCGCCCCAGACCCCGCCGCCAUCUUGUGCGGGCGGCGGUCCGGGAGGGAAACUACAGCCCCCAGCGUGCCUUGCGCGGAGCGUGGGGCGCCGCGCAUGCGUAGCCGCGCAUGCGUAGCCGCGCAUGCGUACGGGGCGCCUUCCUGGUUGCUAUGGGAACGGGGCGCCGGCCUACCUCAGCCUCAGCGGCCUAGGCCGCAGGACUGGCGCAGGCCCGGGGACCGGGGAGCGGGGCAGGCCCAACGACCGAGACCGGGGCAGCCCCGGGAACCGGCGACGGAAGAUUGAAGCGGGCCAGGGAGCUAGCAGCCCACUGUGGCCACAGCGGGAGGAACGGCACAGAGCGGAAUUUCACGCAUCACCACUGCCUGCGAGGGCCUGUGUUGAAUGAAUCACGUCCCCCAGGUGGAAGAUGUUCAAGGGCCUGAAGCUCCUCCAUCAGGACAAGAUCUGGCUGAAGGCGGCGAUCUGGAGGGCUCAGGACCUGCAGUGUGAGUCGGCCCAGCGCCGUGGGCAGCCCCCCAACCCCAUCCCGCUUGUCCCCCUCCCGGGACGUGGCCUUGAUUACUGCCGAUUCCGGCUCUCCACCGCUCGAUUGCAGGCUUGGGAUGUAACUGAUUCAUUUUAUUGAUGAAGCAACAAACCGCUAGAGAGCUAAUAAAUUAAGUAAUCAAUAACCUAAAUAAUUAACAAAUGCAUCCUAUUAUUAUUAAUUUAUGAUUAAAUGACUCUGCACACAGCAAAGCGACUAAUUACGGCUCUUAAUCUUGUGAAUCCCACAGGACUGCUGUUGAACGACAGCUCUAUCGCUCUUCCCUCCCCACUGUUUGGGGGGGAAAGGGAGUCCCCAGGGCCUGGGGCGGGGGGAGGACUGUGCCUGCCAGACCUGGCUCUGCAGAUCGAUAGCCCUCCAAUCCGCAGCCAUCUGC